ensembl:snoRNA C26B2.14 ncRNA
GAGGCUAUCAUCUUAAAUGUCGAGAUAUGAUUGGAGAUUGUUUGAACUAUGAUUUAACAGUGUUAAUCACUCAGCUGGAAAAAGGUCAGAACAUGGUUUCUU